GACGAACGCUGGCGGCGUGCUUAACACAUGCAAGUCGAACGGAAAGGCCCUGCUUGCAGGGUACUCGAGUGGCGAACGGGUGAGUAACACGUGGGUGAUCUGCCCUGCACUUCGGGAUAAGCCUGGGAAACUGGGUCUAAUACCGGAUAGGAGCCAUUUUUAGUGUGAUGGUUGGAAAGUUUUUUCGGUGUAGGAUGAGCUCGCGGCCUAUCAGCUUGUUGGUGGGGUAAUGGCCUACCAAGGCGGCGACGGGUAGCCGGCCUGAGAGGGUGGACGGCCACAUUGGGACUGAGAUACGGCCCAGACUCCUACGGGAGGCAGCAGUGGGGAAUAUUGCACAAUGGGCGCAAGCCUGAUGCAGCGACGCCGCGUGGGGGAUGACGGCCUUCGGGUUGUAAACCCCUUUCGCUAGGGACGAAGCUUUUGUGACGGUACCUAGAUAAGAAGCACCGGCUAACUACGUG
rnacentral:rRNA from 1 species